rnacentral:rRNA from 1 species
CCUACGGGUGGCAGCAGUGAGGAAUAUUGGUCAAUGGGCGCUAGCCUGAACCAGCCAAGUCGCGUGCAGGAUGACUGCCCUAUGGGUUGUAAACUUCUUUUAUAUGGGAAUAAAGUGCAAUAUGUAUACUUCUUUGCAUGUACCUUAUGAAUAAGGAUCGGCUAACUCCGUGCCAGCAGCCGCGGUAAUACGGAGGAUCCGAGCGUUAUCCGGAUUUAUUGGGUUUAAAGGGUGCGUAGGCGGUUGGUUAAGUUAGGUGUGAAAGUUUGCGGCUCAACGGUAAAAUUGCAUUUGAUACUGGCAGCCUUGAGUGCAGUAGAGGUAGGCGGAAUGUGUGGUGUAGCGGUGAAAUGCUUAGAGAUCACGAAGAACUCCGAUUGCGAAGGCAGCUUGCUAGACUGUAACUGACGCUGAUGCUCGAAAGUGUGGGGAGCAAACAGGAUUAGAUACCCGGGUAGUC